UGGCGAACGGGGUGAGUAACACGUGGGCAACCUGCCCAAAAGAGGGGGAUAACACUUGGAAACAGGUGCUAAUACCGCAUAACCAUAGUUACCGCAUGGUAACUAUGUAAAAGGUGGCUAUGCUACCGCUUUUGGAUGGGCCCGCGGCGCAUUAGCUAGUCGGUGGGGUAAAGGCUUACCAAGGCAAUGAUGCGUAGCCGAACUGAGAGGUUGAUCGGCCACAUUGGGACUGAGACACGGCCCAAACUCCUACGGAAGGCAGCAG
rnacentral:rRNA from 1 species